rnacentral:rRNA from 1 species
GGCAAGUAGUAGUUAAGGUAAUUGCUUAACUAGCUUAAGCCCGUAGUCGAAACUGAGAGGKUGAUCGACCACAUUGGGUCUGAAAAAACCCCAAUACGUAUAGUACAGCAGUGAGGAAUAUUGGUCAAUAGCCUAACGGCUGAACCAGCAACUUGGAGGAAUGUAUAUCGWCUAUGUCGGAUAAAGUUCUAGAUAGAAUAAUGAUGAUGACAAUUUUCUAUCUAUAUGUCUUGACCAAAUYUCGURCCAGCAGUCGCGGCAAUACGAGGAAGACUAGUGUUAUUCAUCUUUAAUAGGUUUAAAGGGUACCUAGACGGUAUAUCUAGCCCCCCCCAAAGGGUACGGAUUGUWCUAGAGUUUUAUGUGAGAGGUAUAUAUUAGUACUAUUGGUGUAGAGAUGAAAUUCUUUGAUMCUAUUAGGACUGGUAGAGGCAAAAGCAACCCUCUAUGUAUAAACUGACGUUGAGGGAYGAAGGCUUGGGUAGYGAAUAGGAUUAGAUACCCUAGUAGUCCAGGCAGAGAAUUAUGAAUGUCAUAGACUAGAUUAUGCAGAGCAUAUAGUUAUAACUAAUAGUUAUAUGUCUUUUAUAUUUUGGUCUAUAAAUGAAAGUGUAAGCAUUCCACCUCAAGAGUAAUGUGGCAACGCAGGAACUGAAAUCAUUAGACCGUUUCUGAAACCAGUAGUGAAGUAUGUUAUUUAAUUCGAUGACCCUCGAAAAACCUUACCWCAAUUUGAAUAUUAAUUUUAUUUAAUUAAUACAAGCGUUGCACGGCUGUCUUCAGUUAAUGUCGUGAGAUUUUGGUUAGAUCCAUUAAAUUAACGUAAACCCUUACUUUAUUUAUUUUUAAUAAAGUAGUUCACCACUAUAUUGGAUUUGAUAAAAGGGACUAAGACAAGUCAUCAUGGCCUUAAUAUUGUGGGCUAUAGACGUGCCACAUAUGCCUAGACAAAGGGAUGCGAAAA